GGGUCAGUAGGUUGGUCGUGCCAACGGUACGUACUGGUCUCACUGAUUCCUCCUUCCUGAAGAACCGUAAUGCCAUUAAUUUGGUGUUGAGGGGAAACAGGACUGUUACUUUGAAAAAAUUAGAGUGUUUAAAGCAAGAUAACGCUUGAAUACAUUAGCAUGGAAUAAUGAAAUAGGACGAUCGAUCCUAUUUUGUUGGUUUCUAGGAUUGACGUA
rnacentral:rRNA from 1 species